rnacentral:rRNA from 1 species
AGUGAACGCUGGCGGUAGGCCUAACACAUGCAAGUCGAACGGCAGCACAGUAAUAGCUUGCUCUUACGGGUGGCGAGUGGCGGACGGGUGAGGAAUACAUCGUAAUCUACUUUUUCGUGGGGGAUAACGUAGGGAAACUUACGCUAAUACCGCAUACGACCUACGGGUGAAAGCAUGGGAUCUUCGGACCUUGCGCGAUUGAAUGAGCCGAUGUCGGAUUAGCUAGUUGGCGGGGUAAAGGCCCACCAAGUCGACGAUCCGUAGCUGGUCUGAGAGGAUGGGCAGCCACACUGGAACGGAGACACGGUCCAGACUCCUACGGGAGGCAGCAGUGGGGAAUAUUGGACAAUGGGCGCAAGCCUGAUCCAGACAUACCGAGUGGGUGAAGAAGGCCUUCGGGUUGUAAAGCCCUUUUGUUGGGAAAGAAAAGCAGCAGGUUAAUACCCCGCUGUUCUGACGGUACACAAAGAAUAAGUACCGGCUAACUUCGUGC